rnacentral:rRNA from 1 species
AAUGAACGCUGGCGGCAUGCCUUACACAUGCAAGUCGAACGGCAGCAUGACCUAGCUUGCUAGGUUGAUGGCGAGUGGCGCACGGGUGAGUAAUGCAUCGGAACGUGCCUUUUAGUGGGGGAUAACGUAGCGAAAGUUACGCUAAUACCGCAUAUUCUCUGAGGAGGAAAGCAGGGGACCUUCUGGCCUUGCGCUAGAAGAGCGGCCGAUGUCGGAUUAGCUAGUUGGUGGGGUAAAGGCUCACCAAGGCAACGAUCCGUAGCGGGUCUGAGAGGAUGAUCCGCCACACUGGGACUGAGACACGGCCCAGACUCCUACGGGAGGCAGCAGUGGGGAAUUUUGGACAAUGGGCGCAAGCCUGAUCCAGCCAUGCCGCGUGGGUGAAGAAGGCCUUCGGGUUGUAAAGCUCUUUCGGCUGGAAAGAAAUCGCACCCUCUAAUACAGGGUGUGGAUGACGGUACCAAAAUAAGAAGCACCGGCUAACUACGUG